AACGAACGCUGGCGGCAGGCCUAACACAUGCAAGUCGAACGAGACCUUCGUGUCUGCUUGCUCACGCGUGCGUAGCGCGGGGGAAGCGUCCCGUAUGUUCCGAAUAACUCCCCGAAAGGGGGGCUAAUACCGGAUAAUGUCUGCUAACCACAGAUUUAUCGUGCUUGGAUGGGCACGCGUUGUAUUAGCCAGUUGGUAUUGUAAAAGCCUAUCAAGGCGACGAUACAUAGCUGGUCUGAGAGGAUGAUCAGCGACACUGGGACUGAGACACGGCGCGGAAUACUACGCGAGGCAGGAGCGGGGAAUACUGCCAAACCGGCUAGAGCAUGAAGCAGCAAUGGCGCGUGAGUGAUGAAGUCCUUAGAGAUGUAAAGCUCUUUUACACGGGGUGAUAAUGACAGUACCGAGAGAAUAAGCACCGGCUAACUCCGUG
rnacentral:rRNA from 1 species